AUUGGUCCUUGAGAGUGCUAGCUCGUGUGAAGACUUUCUUCUUGAUUGAUCUAAAUCUUUUCUUUAAAUCUUUAAAAUUUUUUUAGAGAUUAUAGAUAAAAUUUUGGAGGAGAUGAAGAGGUGAAAGAAUGAUGGAGAAAAAAAUAAUUUUUUUCUUAUUUUUUCUCUCUUCCGAAACCUUGAGGACCAAAACCCUAGAAGACUAAGUUCUGCGCACACCCCAAGAGAAGAAGACUCUCCUCUUCUUUCAUGCCAUGAAAUCAUACCCAAGACCCCUCUCAAUAUGAAGGCCUCUCUCUCAGGUCUCUUAUAUAUAUAAAAAUAAAAUAAAACUCCUUU
rnacentral:lncRNA from 1 species